rnacentral:rRNA from 1 species
GACGGGGGGUCCUAGCGUUGUUCGGAAUCAUUGGGCGUAAAGCGUGUGCAGGUGGGUUUGCAAGUUCGAUGUGAAAGCCCCGGGCUUAACCCGGGAAUGGCAUUGGAUACUGCAGAUCUGGAGGAUCGGAGGGGGGACUGGAAUUCUUGGUGUAGCAGUGAAAUGCGUAGAUAUCAAGAGGAACACCAGUGGCGAAGGCGAGUCCCUGGACGAUACCUGACACUGAGGCACGAAAGCUAGGGGAGCAAACAGG